ACCUGGCUGGCUCAGUCAGUAGAGCAUGUGACUCUUGAUCUUGGGGGUCAUGAGUUCAAGCCCCAUGUUGGGGA
rfam:Felis catus isolate Cinnamon breed Abyssinian chromosome A1, whole genome shotgun sequence.